AGGCCUAACACAUGCAAGUCGAGCGGUAGCAGGAAGUGCUUGCACUUCGCUGACGAGCGGCGGACGGGUGCGUAACACGUAGGAAUCUGCCCGGUAGUGGGGGAUAGCCCGGAGAAAUUCGGAUUAAUACCGCAUACGCCCUAAGGGGGAAAGCAGGGGAUCGGUUCGCCGACCUUGCGCUAUCGGAUGAGCCUGCGUCGGAUUAGCUUGUUGGUGGGGUAAAGGCCUACCAAGGCGACGAUCCGUAGCUGGUCUGAGAGGAUGAUCAGCCACACUGGGACUGAGACACGGCCCAGACUCCUACGGGAGGCAGCAGUGGGGAAUAUUGCACAAUGGGCGAAAGCCUGAUGCAGCCAUGCCGCGUGUGUGAAGAAGGCCCUAGGGUUGUAAAGCACUUUCAGUGGGGAGGAAAGGUCGAAGGUUAAUACCCUUUGGCUGUGACGUUACCCACAGAAGAAGCACCGGCUAACUCCGUGCCAGCAGCCGCGGUAAUACGGAGGGUGCGAGCGUUAAUCGGAAUUACUGGGCGUAAAGCGUGCGUAGGCGGCCAUUUAAGUUGGAUGUGAAAGCCCCGGGCUCAACCUGGGAACUGCAUCCAAAACUGGGUGGCUUGAGUGCGAGAGAGGAGUGUGGAAUUUCCUGUGUAGCGGUGAAAUGCGUAGAUAUAGGAAGGAACACCAGUGGCGAAGGCGACACUCUGGCUUGACACUGACGCUGAGGUACGAAAGCGUGGGGAGCAAACAGGAUUAGAUACCCUGGUAGUCCACGCCGUAAACGAUGUCUACUAGUUGUCGGUGGUCUUGUACUGCUGGUAACGCAGCUAACGCGAUAAGUAGACCGCCUGGGGAGUACGGCC
rnacentral:rRNA from 1 species